CAUGGUGGAGAAGGGCCCUGAGGUCUCAGAGAAGUGGAGAGGGAGGAACAACACAGCUAUGUUGGCCACCUCCUCAGCUGCUGCUACCACCUUGGCCACCCAUGCCUUGCCCACAUCUUUGUCCACUGCCACCACCUACACCUCAGCUGCUGCUGCCUCAACUGCCACUGCUCCCAGUAAUAGCCAGAAUAAAAAUUUGGCAGGGGGGGAUCUCAAUGGCAAUGGCAGCAGAACCUCCUGGGAUGAAGGCAGAUCAUUUGGGCUUGUCCAGCCAUGGGGAGCACAGUGGUGGUGGCAUAAGGGGCAGACCCCAGUACCAGGUGGUGGUGACUGACUUCAACCCCACCAAACUGGCAAGAUGCAGCCAAGACUGGGACAGUCUUGGCAUGUUGGUGUGGUCACCAAAUCAGAAUGAGUCAGAAGCAAAGCUGGUUGAGUACAUUGCCAUUGCCAGAAAAAAUAUGGGUACACCAUGGAACAGGCUCUUGGGAUGCUCUU
rnacentral:lncRNA from 1 species